CCUACGGGAGGCAGCAGUGAGGAAUAUUGGUCAAUGGACGAAAGUCUGAACCAGCCAUGCCGCGUGAAGGAUGACGGCCCUACGGGUUGUAAACUUCUUUUGUAUAGGAAGAAACCCCUCUACGUGUAGAGGGCUGACGGUACUAUACGAAUAAGCACCGGCUAACUCCGUGCCAGCAGCCGCGGUAAUACGGAGGGUGCAAGCGUUAUCCGGAAUUAUUGGGUUUAAAGGGUGCGUAGGCGGAAAUUUAAGUCAGUGGUGAAAGCCUGCAGCUCAACUGUAGAAUUGCCAUUGAUACUGAAUUUCUUGAAUCUAAUUGAAGUGGGCGGAAUAUGACAUGUAGCGGUGAAAUGCUUAGAUAUGUCAUAGAACACCGAUAGCGAAGGCAGCUCACUAAGUUAGUAUUGACGCUCAUGCACGAAAGCGUGGGGAGCGAAUAGGAUUAGAUACCCUGGUAGUCCACGCUGUAAACGAUGAUUACUCGCUAUUGGCGAUAUACUGUCAGUGGCUAAGCGAAAGUGAUAAGUAAUCCACCUGGGGAGUACGAUCGCAAGGUUGAAACUCAAAGGAAUUGACGG
rnacentral:rRNA from 1 species